UACGUAGGGGGCAAGCGUUGCUCGGAAUUACUGGGCGUAAAGGGUUCGUAGGUGGCCAACUCAGUCAGACGUGAAAUCCCUCAGCUUAACUGGGGAACUGCGUCUGAUACUGGAUGGCUCGAGUGCAGGAGAGGAACGCGGAAUUCCAGGUGUAGCGGUGAAAUGCGUAGAUAUCUGGAGGAACACCGGUGGCGAAGGCGGCGUUCUGGACUGUAACUGACACUGAGGAACGAAAGCCAGGGGAGCAAACGGG
rnacentral:rRNA from 1 species